rnacentral:pre_miRNA from 1 species
CAAUCUCAGCUGGCAACUGUGAGUUCCAUUAUGAACAACGCACGGUAGUCACUGGGAUUAGG